rnacentral:rRNA from 2 species
CUACGGGAGGCAGCAGUAGGGAAUCUUCCACAAUGGACGAAAGUCUGAUGGAGCAACGCCGCGUGAGUGAUGAAGGUUUUCGGAUCGUAAAACUCUGUUGUUAAAGAAGAACAAGUGUUAGAGUAACUGUUAACACUUUGACGGUAUUUAACCAGAAAGCCACGGCUAACUACGUGCCAGCAGCCGCGGUAAUACGUAGGUGGCAAGCGUUGUCCGGAUUUAUUGGGCGUAAAGCGAGCGCAGGCGGUUUUGUAAGUCUGCUGUGAAAGCCCUCAGCUCAACUGAGGAAGUGCAGUGGAAACUACAAAACUUGAGUACAGAAGAGGAAAGUGGAACUCCAUGUGUAGCGGUGAAAUGCGUAGAUAUAUGGAAGAACACCAGUGGCGAAGGCGGCUUUCUGGUCUGUUACUGACGCUGAGGCUCGAAAGCAUGGGUAGCGAACAGGAUUAGAUACCCUGGUAGUCCAUGCCGUAAACGAUGAAUACUAGGUGUUGGAGGGUUUCCGCCCUUCAGUGCCGCAGCUAACGCAUUAAGUUCCCCCUGGGGAGUACGACCGCAAGGUUGAAACUCAAAGGAAUUGACGGGGGNCCGCNCAAGUGGUG